CAGUCGCCGCGGUAAUACGAAGGGGGCUAGCGUUGCUCGGAAUCACUGGGCGUAAAGGGUGCGUAGGUGGGCUUUUAAGUCAGAGGUGAAAUCCUGGAGCUCAACUCCAGAACUGCCUUUGAUACUGAAAGUCUUGAGUAUGGGGGAGGUGAGUGGAACUGCGAGUGUAGAGGUGAAAUUCGUAGAUAUUCGCAAGAACACCAGUGGCGAAGGCGGCUCACUGGCCCAUAACUGACGCUGAGGUGCGAAAGCGUGGGGAGCAAACAGGAUUAGAGACCCCUGUAGUCCCUGUCUCUUAUAC
rnacentral:rRNA from 1 species